rnacentral:rRNA from 1 species
UACGAAGGGUGCUAGCGUUGCUCGGAAUCACUGGGCGUAAAGCGCACGUAGGCGGAUUCUUAAGUCGGGGGUGAAAUCCUGGAGCUCAACUCCAGAACUGCCUUCGAUACUGAGGAUCUCGAGUCCGGGAGAGGUGAGUGGAACUGCGAGUGUAGAGGUGAAAUUCGUAGAUAUUCGCAAGAACACCAGUGGCGAAGGCGGCUCACUGGCCCGGUACUGACGCUGAGGUGCGAAAGCGUGGGGAGCAAACAGG